AUAGGCGAAAGCUUGACAGGGUUACUCUGAGUGACUUUCGUUAAGAAAGUCUUUUGACACCUCUAAAAAUGGUGUAGAAUAAGGGGUGGGCAAGUCUGGUGUCAGCCGCCGCGGUAAUACCAGCACCCCGAGUGGUCGGGACGAUUAUUGGGCCUAAAGCAUCCGUAGCCGGCCUUACAAGUCCUCCGUUAAAUCCAGCUGCUUAACAGAUGGGCUGCGGAGGAUACUAUAAGACUAGGAGGCAGGAGAGGCAAGCGGUACUCAGUGGGUAGGGGUAAAAUCCGUUGAUCCAUUGAAGACCACCAGUGGCGAAGGCGGCUUGCCAGAAUGCGCUCGACGGUGAGGGAUGAAAGCUGGGGGAGCAAACCGGAUUAGAUACCCCCGUAGUCC
rnacentral:rRNA from 1 species